GUUAGCAAUUUUAAAUGUUUUAAAAUUGUUGUCUUGCAGGUUUUAUCCUUCUAGGCCAGCUGCAAAUGCAAUCUGAGCAGCAAUACAAAAACUUUAUAGUGGUGCCUUAGCGACGUGGGGUGAAGUGCCAUGUCAUACGCAGCAGGCGAUCCUUAAUGAGUUUAUGAAAAAGUAUACAUGGAACCCUACCGAGGAUAAUGUUAUUAGAAGUAAUUUUACAAAGAAGGCGAGUUCUCGAUCCUUAAUCAAUACUGGGCUACACCGGAGUUUCAAAAGAAGAGCGCCCAGACAAAGGCAGCUCGAAAGUCUGAGAAGGGUGGCUCAUUGCACACUUGUGGUUCAGUGUCCAUGGGGACUGCUAGGAGG